AGAAUCAACGCUAGCGGCGUGCCUAACACAUGCAGGUCGAACGAGAAAGUGGAGCAAUCCAUGAGUAAAGUGGCGACCGGGUGAGUAACACGUGACUAACCUACCUUCGAGUGGGGGAUAACCUCGGGAAACCGAGGCUAAUACCGCAUAACAUCGUGAGAUCAAAGCAGUAAUGCGCUGGAAGAGGGGGUCGCGGCUGAUUAGCUAGUUGGCGGGGUAAUGGCCCACCAAGGCGAAGAUCGGUA
rnacentral:rRNA from 1 species